rnacentral:rRNA from 1 species
GAGGGGCAAGUCUGGUGCCAGCAGCCGCGGUAAUUCCAGCUCUAAUAGCGUAUAUUAAUAUUGUUGCAGUUAAAAAGCUCGUAGUUGAAAUUUGGAACUUUAUUAUAUUGGUUUAUUUUUGAUGAACUGUAUAAUGGGUUUCUUCCUACUAGAGUUCGAUUCGUGUUCUUAAUUGAAUGGAGUAGCUAUCUCUCGGGGUGGUCAAUUGGUUGUUAUAUCUCCACUAAUAAGCAGAGAGGGGUAAAACUCUCAAAGUAAGUUAUGUGGGUUAAGGUAUGAUGGUUAAUUGGAGUUCUAGUUCAUUUACUUUUGAGAAAAUUAGAGUGUUUAAAGCAGCCUCUUGGGGCACUGAAUACAUUAGCAUGGGAUAAUAAAAUAGGAUCUUCACAAUAUAUUUUAUUGGUUUAAAUUGGAUAUGAAGAUAAUGAUUAAUA